ensembl:misc_RNA Y_RNA Y RNA
GGCUGGCCCAAGUGCAGUGGUGUUUAUAACUAAUUGAUCACAACCAGUUACAAAUUUCUUUGUUCCUUUUCCACUCCCACUGCUUUGACUAGCCUUUC